AUUGAACGCUGGCGGCAUGCCUUACACAUGCAAGUCGAACGGCAGCGGGGACUUCGGUCCGCCGGCGAGUGGCGAACGGGUGAGUAAUGUAUCGGAACGUACCAUUCAGUGGGGGAUAACUAUCCGAAAGGAUAGCUAAUACCGCAUAUUCUGUGAGCAGGAAAGCAGGGGAUCGCAAGACCUUGCGCUGAUUGAGCGGCCGAUAUCAGAUUAGCUAGUUGGUGAGGUAACGGCUCACCAAGGCUACGAUCUGUAGCGGGUCUGAGAGGAUGCUCCGCCACACUGGGACUGAGACACGGCCCAGACUCCUACGGGAGGCAGCAGUGGGGAAUUUUGGACAAUGGGCGAAAGCCUGAUCCAGCCAUGCCGCGUGAGUGAAGAAGGCCUUCGGGUUGUAAAGCUCUUUCGGCCGGGAAGAAAUCGCACAGGCUAAUACCUUGUGUGGAUGACGGUACCGGAAUAAGAAGCACCGGCUAACUACGUGCCAGCAGCCGCCGUAAGAC
rnacentral:rRNA from 1 species